AGAAGGAAUAGUCUAGUCUAAAAUCAUGCUGUUGGAGACUUUGUGCAUCCAUUUGAUGUUAAUGAAAGUAGAUCUGGUGUUGACUAUGAUAUCCAAACACAGCUUUACCUCAGUAAUACCAUACCUAAGAUUAGCUAACGGGGCCAUUCACUGUCCUGGGCAACUGAUGACCAAACUCGCAGAUUUUUAGCCCCUGCUCAAAGCAUUACUUGUCUGAAGACUGGUUUUCCAUCAGCCUGUAGAACUCCAGGGAUGUAGGGGAUUGUCAGUGACCCAGAGAAACAACCAGGUGUUAUUAGGGGUUGGAUGGAUGGAGACAAGAAAAAAAUAUAGAAUAAUAUAAAACAUGACUGCAUUCACACAUCAAAAAUCAACCUAAUCCUUCAUUUCUGACCUAUGGAGUGAUGCCUGUUGACUAUAAGAGGUCU
rnacentral:lncRNA from 1 species